GUGGGAGACGGCGCGUGGCAUCUUGCGCAGUUCCCGGGACCCCCACGCUUGUGAUGAAGGGCGACAAUAGCCGCGUGACGGAUCCCUUCCGGCCCCUUUCCCCCACUCUUCAUAACACGGUUAACAGAUUGCACCGGUCAGGAAUGGACAAAGAAACACAAAGACGUCCAGAUAAAUGGAACUGAUGGGUGAAUUAGCAACAACAUGAAAAGGAAUACCACGAAGAUUUCCAACAUUCGACACACGGAGGGGCCUGGAUCCUGUCCCAGGCAGCUUAGGGAUUCCAGUCCAUCACAGAACAUAUGAACUACUGUAGGGGCACUUUAGAGAUGCCAUUUAAACAAACUGCAUGUGCUUGUACUGUGGGAGGAAACCAGAGUACUUGGAAGAAACCCCCCAAAAACACAGGGAGAAUAUGCAAACAUAUGGAGGGGGGAUGGGAUUCAAACCCAUACCCCUGGUGCAUAAAUCACUGGGCACCUAAAUAUACACAUGCACAAAUAUUACAUGUUAUACAUGUUAACUAACUUUAGCAUUCCUAUAGGGAUUCCUACAGGGAAAUAUCUUUCCCUAUGUAUUUCAUUUAACAUUUAGUAUUUAAGUCUAUAACCACAAAAGGAAUUCAUUUUUAAAUGAAAAGCAUUUUUUGGUUAAGUUUAAUUGUUAGUUGAGAGUUGAAUAGAGGUGCUGAAAGAUGUAUUUGCAUGGAUAUUACUCAAUUUCAUAUCCUUGAAUUAUAAGUACACCUUAGUGCUGGGAUUUUGACAUAGCGAAGCAAUAAAUCCACUGUGUUAAAUAGA